UACGAAGGGGGCUAGCGUUGCUCGGAAUGACUGGGCGUAAAGGGCGCGUAGGCGGCUUGCACCGUCAGAUGUGAAAUUCCUGGGCUUAACCUGGGGGCUGCAUUUGAUACGUGUGGGCUUGAGUGCGGAAGAGGGUCGUGGAAUUCCCAGUGUAGAGGUGAAAUUCGUAGAUAUUGGGAAGAACACCGGUGGCGAAGGCGGCGACCUGGUCCAUUACUGACGCUGAGGCGCGAAAGCGUGGGGAGCGAACAGG
rnacentral:rRNA from 1 species